rnacentral:rRNA from 1 species
UACGUAGGGGGCUAGCGUUACUCGGAUUCAUUGGGCGUAAAGCGAAUGUAGGCGGCUUUGUAAGUCAGGGGUGAAAUCCCUCAGCUUAACUGAGGAAGUGCCUUUGAAACUGCAUGGCUUGAGGACAGGAGAGGAAAGUGGAAUUCCCGGUGUAGCGGUGGAAUGCGUAGAUAUCGGGAGGAACACCUGAGGCGAAGGCGGCUUUCUGGACUGUUCCUGACGCUGAGAUUCGAAAGCUAGGGGAG